rnacentral:rRNA from 1 species
AUUGCGGAUCCGCGGCCGCAGAGUUUGAUCAUGGCUCAGAACGAACGCUGGCGGCGUGCUUAACACAUGCAAGUCGAACGAGAAAGGGACUUCGGUCCUGAGUACAGUGGCGCACGGGUGAGUAACACGUGGAUAAUCUACCUGAUGGACAGGGAUAACAUCUCGAAAGAGGUGCUAAUACCAGAUAAGCCCACAGCAUCUACGGAUGCAGCGGGAAAAGGGGGCCUCUUCAUGAAAGCUUCCACCAACAGAUGAGUCCGCGGUCCAUUAGCUAGUUGGUAGGGUAAUGGCCUACCAAGGCCACGAUGGAUAGCUGGUUUGAGAGAAUGAUCAGCCACACUGGAACUGAGACACGGUCCAGACUCCUACGGGAGGCAGCAGUGGGGAAUAUUGCGCAAUGGGGGAAACCCUGACGCAGCAACGCCGCGUGAGUGAUGAAGGUUUUCGGAUCGUAAAGCUCAGUCAAGAGGGAAGAAACCCCGAUAGGCUAAUACCUUGUCGGAUUGACGGUACCUCUAAAGGAAGCACCGGCUAACUCCGUGCCAGCAGCCGCGGUAAUACGGAGGGUGCGAGCGUUGUUCGGAAUUAUGGGCGUAAAGCGCGUGCAAGCGGGUG